GCCCCUUGAGCCAGCUGAUGGGGGGACCAGGAGCUCCCAGCAGUGCAGGUCCUGGCUCUCCCCCAAUCCUACAGCCCAGCUCUCCUUGCAGAGAUAACCCCCUUUGAUCCUGAGGAGGAUGAGCUAGAUGGCUGCGGGUCUGAGGCCGGCUUGGAUACGGUGACAGAGGAAUGGUGGGUCCCUGGGGAGGCUGGCAGGGGGAUGCGAGAGGGAAGGAGGGGUGCAGGAUGAGCUCCCCGACCAUGUUCUCAUAGGGCAGGAGCGCGGGUGCUCGGCUGGCUGGUGCAGGGCUUCGAGAGGAUCGUGCCGCAGCCAGAGAUGCUGAAAAAGCCGGAGCCGGAGCCGAAGGAGCAGAAAUGCGAAGCUGUGGCAGGAGGCACAAAAGGGACUAAAACCCAGGCAAAGUCAAAAGGCAGCAUUUCAGCCACUCAGAGUAUCCCAGGAACAGUAGAGCCAGCAGUCGCCGAGAGGCAGCCAGAGCAGGUGGCCACCCUCAUCCCUCGGUCCCUGGCUGGGGACGGCAGCAGGUAACUGCAGUGGCAACUUCUGCCUGGGUACCGUGGCCAGAGGGACGACUGAUGUGGGAUCCAAGGCUCUGGCAGCCAGGUCUAACAGUGGUUUCUGGUCACUAGGAUGUUUGCCUGGUUCGUUCAGGGACUGGAGAAGGUGAUGCCACAGCCAGUGACCAGGGAGAAGCAGGACACACAGGGAGUGGCAGCAGCAACCUGGAGUCCUGUGGAAGAAAUUCGUAUUGUUCCUGGGGAAACUGAGGACACUGACCUCGUCCUGGAAGAAGUCAAUGAUGACUGGAUUAAUGAAGCCACAUGCGAGAUGAUGGCCUGGGGUCGUGAGGCUGAGCUGGUAGCAGAUGCUCAUCCCCUUCCCCCCAUACAGGAGGAACCUCAGGAAGAAGAAAACAGGUAGGAGAAGGAAGAUGCUGUUGAUGGACAGCUCUACGUGCCCUCUGACCACCAGCGUGGUGGCCAUGGGAGGGGAUGAGCAUAUCCCUGGGCAUUUCUCUUUGCCAGUGCUGGUGGUGGAGCUGGCACUGGGCAGCCAAGGUGCUUGUUUCCAAAGAGAGGGGCACCAAAAGGACCCAAAAGGUGUUUGAGCAAAACCAACCUUUUCUUCUGGUGUUGAGUGGCA
rnacentral:lncRNA from 1 species